UGUGGACUGCAUUGAUGGCCUGCCUCUCUCUACACCGCAGGAAUGUGGGCUGUAAAGGCGGGAUGUAAAUUCAAGUCCACAUGCUAUGGAGAAAUCAGAGGUUUCGAAAGUGUCUCCAUGACUAUUUUUAAAGUCACAGCUAAUAAUUCACCGUCUGACGCUCUGGGGCUUGCCUGGAUCUAAAAAUAGUUGUUCCCGAGCUGGUCGGGGAACUGGCUGAGAAGGAGGGGAAGCUGCGUGGAAUACAUUCUGAACCAUCAGGAAACCCAAAGCAAAAUCGAAUCUGGCCACCUAAGAUUUGAUUGUUAAAAGAUGGAUUUGACAGCUGAUCCCGCAUUAAUUACAUUUGUGAAGACAUUUGAAAGAGAGGAAUGAAAUGACAGUGGCCCUGACACAGUCCUUGGGGUUUAAGAUGGAGUCUGACAUUGUAUCCAUCUCCAGUCCUGCAGCAGCUUAGCGACAUCAGAGACAAUUGAAGCAAAGGGCCCACUUAGGGCUGACAGCUGACCCUGCAGGCCGGCUGGGGAGCCCCUGAGAGGACCCAGGUCCAGCCACCAGGGAAGGGAACCAGCAUGGCCCCAGGGGCGCUUUAGGCUGAGGCUUCUCCCAGGAUGUGGAGGCUCAGCACUUUGCACAAAUCGAAUUCAUGCCAAAGGAAACUGAAAGCCCGCCUUUUUUCUCCCCCAGCGCACGUCUCAGAUUAUUUGGCCUUUGUCUGAAGACUGAAAACAGUUCUGUGUCCAAGAAACGGCUUCUGAUAAGGAAGACACAUUCCUAUCUCUCUCACACACACACACACACAUGCCCACGCACAUACGCACACACGGACCACCCACCCACCCAUCGGAAGUGCAUCAGCGGCCUCUGCCUCCCGCCAGAAUUCCCGGCUGCAGGACACAGCCCAGCAGGAGAAGCUUUUCCCUCCAUUCUUUCAAGGGUGAGUGGAGACAUAGGCUGGUGAUACGUGUUUUGCUCAGUUGAGUGAGGUCCGAUUCCUGGAGUUGGGCUUCCUUUAACAUCUGAGGUCAGUCACAUGGCCCAUGCUGCAGAGCCUUCAGAGAAGAAACACACUGGUUCCAAGCAUUUCAGUUUAGUUUCAUUCAAAUGCAGAAACAUGGAAACACAGACUAGACUCGUAUGAUCAAGUUAUACUCAAGCAAAGAAUACAAUACCAAAGUGAUUUCUUAAGAGUGUCCUAAAAGAGUCUCACAUACACUCUUAGUUAUCAAGUUCUUUAUGAGAUCUUUUCUAAGAUUAUGAACAUCAUAUUUGACUUGUGUAAAGCAUCACAUCAUUGACUAAAGAAAAUAUGCAUAAAUAUAUAUAUACACACACAAAGUUGUAUAAUAUUUAAAAUAUUUCUGAGUGGUAUGACUCGAAAAGAUAUUACAGUAACUGAUUAUCAUUGUAUGGGAAGAUGCUUUAUAAAACAAGAUUCUUUAAUAUAGGAUAUUCUCAAUGGCACUAUUUCUUGACUUCUAUUUAUCAUUAAUAAAUUUGGUGGAAAUGUUAAAAUAAUUUUAGAGGUUAUUUAAUGGGAAAUAUGUAUGUUUCUUUCCAUUAUAAGCAACUAUAUAUCUUAUAAUAGGACGUUUUUCUCACCUCACCUAAAAAUAACACAGAAUGUCUUAUUUCAGAUAAAUAUUAGUUUUAAAAGGUUUUAGUUAUAUAUCUUAUAUCCUGUUUAAUUUGAGUUCUUUUUACACUUAGAAUGAACACAUCCCGAUUCUAACAAAAACACAGUAAACACAGAGGAGCCACGUGGGCUACGUUCAGG
rnacentral:lncRNA from 1 species